CGGAGGGUGCGAGCGUUGUCCGGAAUCACUGGGCGUAAAGGGCGCGUAGGCGGCUUGAUAAGUAGGGGGUGAAAUCCUGCGGCUUAACCGCAGGGCUGCCUUCUAAACUGUCAGGCUUGAGCACAGUAGAGGCAGGUGGAAUUCCCGGUGUAGCGGUGGAAUGCGUAGAGAUCGGGAAGAACAUCAGUGGCGAAGGCGGCCUGCUGGGCUGUUGCUGACGCUGAGGCGCGACAGCGUGGGGAGCAAACAGGAUUAGAUACCCUGGUAGUCCACGCCGUAAACGAUGGGCACUAGGCGUCGGGGGGAGCGACCCUCCCGGUGCCGUCGCUAACGCAGUAAGUGCCCCGCCUGGGGAGUACGGCCGCAAGGCUG
rnacentral:rRNA from 1 species